rnacentral:rRNA from 1 species
GUGCCAGCAGCCGCGGUAAUACAGAGGUCCCAAGCGUUGUUCGGAUUCACUGGGCGUAAAGGGUGCGUAGGCGGUCGGAUAAGUCUGAUGUGAAAUCUUGGAGCUUAACUCCGAAACUGCAUUGGAUACUGUUCGGCUGGAGGUUGGGAGGGGGGACUGGAAUUCUCGGUGUAGCAGUGAAAUGCGUAGAUAUCGAGAGGAACACCAGUGGCGAAGGCGAGUCCCUGGACCAAUCCUGACGCUGAGGCACGAAAGCCAGGGGAGCAAACGGGAUUAGAUACCCCGGUAGUCCUGGCCCUAAACGGUGCAUGUUUGCUGUGAGAGGAAUCGACCCCUUUCGUGGCGGAGCUAACGCGUUAAACAUGCCGCCUGGGGAGUACGGUCGCAAGAUUAAA